CAAAUGGAUGAAUACACGAGAUAUUGGUGCGGUUCAAUGAGAAAGCAGUACUUAAGAACAUUUUUGAGUCUACUUUUUGAUUGAGCCGCGCCAAUAUCACGUGUAGCUAAAUCUUUAGUUG
rnacentral:pre_miRNA from 1 species